rnacentral:rRNA from 1 species
AACGAACGCUGGCGGCAGGCCUAACACAUGCAAGUCGAACGCCCCAGCAAUAGGGAGUGGCAGACGGGUGAGUAACGCGUGGGAACCUUCCUUAUGGUGCGGAAUAACUCGCCGAAAGGCGUGCUAAUACCGCAUAAGCCCGCAAGGGGAAAGAUUCAUCGCCAUAAGAUGGGCCCGCGUAGGAUUAGCUAGUUGGUGAGGUAACGGCCCACCAAGGCUACGAUCCUUAGCUGGUUUGAGAGAAUGACCAGCCACACUGGGACUGAGACACGGCCCAGACUCCUACGGGAGGCAGCAGUGGGGAAUCUUGGACAAUGGGCGCAAGCCUGAUCCAGCCAUGCCGCGUGAGUGACGAAGGCCUU